rnacentral:rRNA from 1 species
AUUGAACGCUGGCGGCAUGCCUUACACAUGCAAGUCGAACGGCAGCACGGGAGCAAUCCUGGUGGCGAGUGGCGAACGGGUGAGUAAUAUAUCGGAACGUGCCCAGUCGUGGGGAUAACGUAGCGAAAGCUACGCUAAUACCGCAUACGAUCUAUGGAUGAAAGCGGGGGAUCGCAAGACCUCGCGCGAUUGGAGCGGCCGAUAUCAGAUUAGGUAGUUGGUGAGGUAAAGGCUCACCAAGCCAACGAUCUGUAGCUGGUCUGAGAGGACGACCAGCCACACUGGAACUGAGACACGGUCUAGACUCCUACGGGAGGCAGCAGUGGGGAAUUUUUGGACAAUGGACGCAAGUCUGAUCCAGCCAUUCCGCGUGCAGGAUGAAGGCCCUCGGGUUGUAAACUGCUUUUGUACGGAACGAAAGGUUUGUCUUAAUACGAUGAGCUCAUGACGGUACCGUAAGAAUAAGCACCGGCUAACUACGU